rnacentral:lncRNA from 1 species
CCAUGUACUAAGAUAAUAUUUUACAUUCAAAUUUUAUUAUACUGCAAUGAAAUGAAAAAUGAACACCCUAUUCUAAAAGACAACAUAAUCCUGAAACUAAAUUAUUACAUGUCACCUUUCAAAAGAUGUGCUAGUAAGUUAUGAACGCUUACUACACAGUAAUUUGCUCACUAGGACCAAACUCAUAAAAUCAUUACAGAACCUGAGAAGUGAAUCAGGAGUAAACAUCAGUGUUCGAAUUAGCAACACGAACAUAAUUUAUAUUAGCAUUCAACUAAGAAUUCACCAGUGGCUCUUACCAAGUAAAACGUGGUCAAAGGAAAAAUCAAGACAGAAGGAAUGCAAGCUUUCCCUCACUAGGCAAUAUCAAUGUCAAGAAAGUAAAAGUUGAUUUUAUUCAACAAUAGAAACUGCAAUUUAACGAUAAGGAAAGGAUUUAAAUUUCUUAAGAAUGUUGCAAUCUGCCAAAUAUGUUCUGUUGCCUAAGAGCUGGUAUUUUAGCAAAUAUUGUUAACUUUGAGUCGCUUAUUACUACAAAUCAAAAACAAACGCUACAGAAAUAAUCUGAUGCACAAAUUCUCGGUCCAGCGUUAGGUCGGGAAGGGUCUCCCCACUGGGCCCCUCCUGCGUCCCCACCCUCUCCCCCAUGCAGAGGGCUGGGCUCAGCGCCGCCUGGCAAAGCCCUGCAGAAGUCUUUCAGCCGCUUUGUUACAAUCCCUCCUGUCCUCGCGGCCCUGCCUGCUGGCCACCGCGCCCUGCCCAGCCGCGCUGGCCCAGGCCCAAGCGGGCCCGCGGAGUCGGGACAACUUUCCAAGCGGACGGCGCGCGGGGCGCAGGGCACGGGGCACGGGGCACGGGCCCGGAGCUUGGGCAACCUCGCGCCCGGCCACUGCGGCGAGCAAGUGGCCGCCACCACGUUCCGCCCCGCGGAGACGCCAUCAGCGACACCAUCAGCUGUGGUGGGGGUAACCGCACCGUCCGCCGGGCCAAGGGACAGCUCGCGAACGGCCGCAGCCGCCUUCCUGCUAGGCGCGGGAAGGCGAAAGGAGGGCACGGGGCACAGGGAUACUGUGUGGAGCUCUUCCCUGACCCUGGGGUCACCUUCAAGAGGGUGAGGACAGUAAGGUGA